rnacentral:tmRNA from 1 species
GGGGUUGAAAUGGUUUCGACGUUUUAGUAUAUAUCUUCUUACAAGC